AUACGGGGGGUGCAAGCGUUAAUCGGAAUUACUGGGCGUAAAGCGCGCGUAGGCGGUUUGCUCAGUCGGAUGUGAAAGCCCAGGGCUCAACCUUGGAACUGCAUACGAUACUGGCAAACUAGAGUGUGAGAGAGGAUAGUGGAAUUUCCGGUGUGGCGGUGAAAUGCGUAGAUAUCGGAAGGAACAUCAGUGGCGAAGGCGACUGUCUGGCUCAACACUGACGCUGAGGUGCGAAAGCGUGGGUAGCAAACAGGAUUAGAAACCCCAGUAGUCC
rnacentral:rRNA from 1 species